rnacentral:rRNA from 1 species
GACGAACGCUGGCGGCGUGCCUAAUACAUGCAAGUUGAGCGCUGAAGGUUGGUACUUGUACCAACUGGAUGAGCAGCGAACGGGUGAGUAACGCGUGGGGAAUCUGCCUUUGAGCGGGGGACAACAUUUGGAAACGAAUGCUAAUACCGCAUAAAAACUUUAAACACAAGUUUUAAGUUUGAAAGAUGCAAUUGCAUCACUCAAAGAUGAUCCCGCGUUGUAUUAGCUAGUUGGUGAGGUAAAGGCUCACCAAGGCGAUGAUACAUAGCCGACCUGAGAGGGUGAUCGGCCACAUUGGGACUGAGACACGGCCCAAACUCCUACGGGAGGCAGCAGUAGGGAAUCUUCGGCAAUAGACGAAAGUCUGACCGAGCAACGCCGCGUGAGUGAAGAAGGUUGUCGGAUCGUAAAACUCUGUUGGUAGAGAGGAACGUUGGUGAGAGUGGAAAGCUCAUCAAGUGACGGUAACUACACAGAAAGGGACGGCUAACUACGUG